GAUGAACGCUGGCGGCGUGCCUAAUACAUGCAAGUAGAACGCUGAAGCUUGGUGCUUGCACCGAGCGGAUGAGUUGCGAACGGGUGAGUAACGCGUAGGUAACCUGCCUCUUAGCGGGGGAUAACUAUUGGAAACGAUAGCUAAUACCGCAUAAAAGUCGAUAUCGCAUGAUAUUGAUUUGAAAGGUGCAAAUGCAUCACUAAGAGAUGGACCUGCGUUGUAUUAGCUAGUUGGUGAGGUAACGGCUCACCAAGGCGACGAUACAUAGCCGACCUGAGAGGGUGAUCGGCCACACUGGGACUGAGACACGGCCCAGACUCCUACGGGAGGCAGCAGUAGGGAAUCUUCAGCAAUGGGGGCAACCCUGACUGAGCAACGCCGCGUGAGUGAAGAAGGUUUUCGGAUCGUAAAGCUCUGUUGUAAGAGAAGAACGAGUGUGAGGGUGGAAAGUUCACACUGUGACGGUAACUUACCAGAAAGGGACGGCUAACUACGUG
rnacentral:rRNA from 1 species